rnacentral:rRNA from 1 species
AUUGAACGCUGGCGGCAGGCCUAACACAUGCAAGUCGAGCGGAAACGACAACAUUGAUUCUUCGGAGGAUUUGUUGGGCGUCGAGCGGCGGACGGGUGAGUAAUGCUUAGGAAUUUGCCCAGUUGAGGGGGAUAACUAUUGGAAACGAUAGCUAAUACCGCAUACGCUCCUUUCUGUGAAAAGGGGGACCUUCGGGCCUCUCGCGAUUGGAUAAGCCUAAGUGAGAUUAGCUAGUUGGUGAGGUAAGAGCUCACCAAGGCGACGAUCUCUAGCUGGUCUGAGAGGAUGAUCAGCCACACUGGAACUGAGACACGGUCCAGACUCCUACGGGAGGCAGCAGUGGGGAAUAUUGCACAAUGGGCGAAAGCCUGAUGCAGCCAUGCCGCGUGUAUGAAGAAGGCCUUCGGGUUGUAAAGUACUUUCAGCAGUGAGGAAGGGCGGUACGUUAAUAGCGUAUUGUCUUGACGUUAGCUGCAGAAGAAGCACCGGCUAACUCCGUGCCAGCAGCCGCGGUAAUACGGAGGGUGCGAGCGUUAAUCGGAAUUACUGGGCGUAAAGCGCGCGUAGGUGGUUUGUUAAGCGAGAUGUGAAAGCCCCGGGCUCAACCUGGGAACUGCAUUUCGAACUGGCAGGCUAGAGUAUGGUAGAGGUAAGUGGAAUUUCCUGUGUAGCGGUGAAAUGCGUAGAUAUAGGAAGGAACACCAGUGGCGAAGGCGACUUACUGGACAAUACUGACGCUGAGGUGCGAAAGCGUGGGGAGCAAACAGGAUUAGAUCCCCUGGUAGUCCACGCCGUAAACGAUGUCAACUAGCCGUUGGGAGCAAUUAAGCUUUUAGUGGCGCAGCUAACGCAUUAAGUAGACCGCCUGGGGAGUACGGUCGCAAGAUUAAAACUCAAAUGAAUUGACGGGGGCCCGCACAAGCGGUGGAGCAUGUGGUUUAAUUCGACGCAACGCGAAGAACCUUACCAACUCUUGACAUCCUUCAGAAAGCCAGCGGAGACGCAGGUGUCCUUCGGGAACUCUGAGACAGGUGCUGCAUGGCUGUCGUCAGCUCGUGUUGUGAAAUGUUGGGUUAAGUCCCGCAACGAGCGCAACCCUUAUCCUUGUUUGCCAGCACUUCGGGUGGGAACUCCAGGGAGACUGCCGGUGAUAAACCGGAGGAAGGUGGGGACGACGUCAAGUCAUCAUGGCCCUUACGAGUAGGGCUACACACGUGCUACAAUGGCGUAUACAGAGGGCUGCCAACUCGCGAGAGUGAGCGAAUCCCAGAAAGUACGUCGUAGUCCGGAUUGGAGUCUGCAACUCGACUCCAUGAAGUCGGAAUCGCUAGUAAUCGUGGAUCAGAAUGCCACGGUGAAUACGUUCCCGGGCCUUGUACACACCGCCCGUCACACCACGGGAGUGGGCUCUACCCGACGGCCGUGCGCUAACCUUUUGGAGGCAGCGGACCACGGUAGGCAUCAGCGACUGGGGUG